rnacentral:rRNA from 1 species
AUGGGGCAUAUGCCCCCCUCCCCUAUAUUUGCACCAUAUAAUCAAUAUGGAUGUGCUCGAGCCGCAGCUACACCGGAGGCCUCGUCAGACACGGUGCUAGGUUUGGAGCGUACCCUGCCGCUCACCGGCGUACAGCUCGAACAACUCAAGAUUUUGGACAGGGAGCCCAUGUCAAUGAAGACAAAUGUCGCGGAGUACUCGCUGGGAGGAACGCCCGUCAAGCUAGAAGAAAUUUUACACAUAUGGAGUGCACAGCUCUACUGUACCCGUGUGAAAUUGGGAACACCACCAAAAGAGUACACUCUCCAUUUUGACACUGGCAGCGACCUUGUGUGGGUUUCUUGCACCCCAUGCACAACGUGCGGCAGUAUCCUUAUCAAAUUGGAGAACUACAACCCAGAUUCUUCUUCAACGUCGUCUAGGAUAUCAUGCUCUGAUAAAAUGUGUGCACAUGCCCCAAAAAUAGGGUAUGCAACAUAUGCUGAUGGAAGUGCCGAGUCAGGGUACUACGUGUCGGACACUUUAUAUUUCGACAAAUUCGUGGGUCAAAAGCGGGUUACAAGUUCUGCAUCUAUAUUUUUUGGAUGUAGCAACUCGCAAUCAUAUCAGUUUCAGACAGAUGGGAUUAUUGGAUUUGGACAGAAUGCGAUCUCUGCUAUCUCACAACUGAAUUCUCAAGGGGUGUCCAGUAAGGUGUUCUCUCAUUGCCUCAGGGGUUUAAAAGAUGGUUCAAAAGAUGGUGGUGGCAUUCUUGUUGUUGGUGAAGUUAUGUGGACAGGACUUGUGUUUACUCUGAUACUCCCAUCAGAGGACCAUUACAACGUGAAUAUGAAGGGCAUUGCUGUCAAUGGUAAAAACAUUUCCCUUGAUUCUUCCUGGCUUACAACAUCAAAUGCACAAGGAACCAUUGUGGAUUCAGGAACAACAUUAGUGUACCUUGCAGAUGGAGUGUAUGAUCCGGUUAUUACAGCGAUAAAUGACGCCGCCCAUACUGGUUCUAUAAACUCUUUCAUCAUGAAUGGGAGCCAAUGUUAUCAUAAAAACAUAAGCAAUGUGUCAUUAUUUCCAACAGUGACACUAUAUUUUGACGGCGGUGCUUCAAUGACAACUGGGCCAAAGGACUAUCUUGUGCCCAUGUUUCAUUAUGACGGUUUGCAGGACAAGGAUCCCAUGUUGUGCAUUGGCUUUCAACCAAGCAAAGGCCCCGAUAAUUUCUUCCAACAUACCACCAUACUUGGAGAUAUUGUUUUACGUGAUAUGAUUUUUAUGUAUAACUUGGAGACUAAGCAGAUUGGCUUGUCAUCAUCCUCUUCUUCUCCUUCGUUGUCUUCCAUCAUAACUCCUCUUUCUCCGUGCUUGGUCCAAACAUUAUAG